rnacentral:tRNA from 1 species
UAUACUUUAGUAUAUGAUGUAUAAAGAUUUUUGAUAUCUUUGGUAAUAGUUUGAUUCUAUUAAGUAUAG